GUGACUGCGUACCUUUUGUAUAAUGGGUCAGCGACUUAUAUUCUGUAGCAAGGUUAACCGAAUAGGGGAGCCGGAGGGAAACCGAGUCUUAAUUGGGCGUUAAGUUGCAGGGUAUAGACCCGAAACCCGGUGAUCUAGCCAUGGGCAGGUUGAAGGUUGGGUAACACUAACUGGAGGACCGAACCGACUAAUGUUGAAAAAUUAGCGGAUGACCUGUGGCUGGGGGUGAAAGGCCAAUCAAACCGGGAGAUAGCUGGUUCUCCCCGAAAGCUAUUUAGGUAGCGCCUCGUGAAUUCAUCUCCGGGGGUAGAGCACUGUUUCGGCUAGGGGGCCAUCCCGGCUUACCAACCCGAUGCAAACUGCGAAUACCGGAGAAUGUUAUCACGGGAGACACACGGCGGGUGCUAACGUCCGUCGUGAAGAGGGAAACAACCCAGACCGCCAGCUAAGGUCCCAAAGUCAUGGUUAAGUGGGAAACGAUGUGGGAAGGCCCAGACAGCCAGGAUGUUGGCUUAGAAGCAGCCAUCAUUUAAAGAAAGCGUAAUAGCUCACUGGUCGAGUCGGCCUGCGCGGAAGAUGUAACGGGGCUAAACCAUGCACCGAAGCUGCGGCAGCGACGCU
rnacentral:rRNA from 1 species